UAGGGAAUCUUCGGCAAUGGACGGAAGUCUGACCGAGCAACGCCGCGUGAGUGAAGAAGGUUUUCGGAUCGUAAAGCUCUGUUGUAAGAGAAGAACGAGUGUGAGAGUGGAAAGUUCACACUGUGACGGUAUCUUACCAGAAAGGGACGGCUAACUACGUGCCAGCAGCCGCGGUAAUACGUAGGUCCCGAGCGUUGUCCGAAUUUAUUGGGCGUAAAGCGAGCGCAGGCGGUUAGAUAAGUCUGAAGUUAAAGGCUGUGGCUUAACCAUAGUAGGCUUUGGAAACUGUUUAACUUGAGUGCAAGAGGGGAGAGUGGAAUUCCAUGUGUAGCGGUGAAAUGCGUAGAUAUAUGGAGGAACACCGGUGGCGAAAGCGGCUCUCUGGCUUGUAACUGACGCUGAGGCUCGAAAGCGUGGGGAGCAAACAGGAUUAGAUACCCUGGUAGUCCACGCUGUAAACGAUGAGUGCUAGGUGUUAGACCCUUUCCGGGGUUUAGUGCCGUAGCUAACGCAUUAAGCACUCCGCCUGGGGAGUACGACCGCAAGGUUG
rnacentral:rRNA from 1 species